GGAAUAUUGGUCAAUGGAGGCAACUCUGAACCAGCCAUGCCGCGUGCAGGAAGACGGCCCUAUGGGUUGUAAACUGCUUUUAUCUGGGAAUAAACCUACUUACGUGUAAGUAGCUGAAUGUACCAGAAGAAUAAGGAUCGGCUAACUCCGUGCCAGCAGCCGCGGUAAUACGGAGGAUCCAAGCGUUAUCCGGAUUUAUUGGGUUUAAAGGGUGCGUAGGCGGCCUGUUAAGUCAGAGGUGAAAGACGGUAGCUCAACUAUCGCAGUGCCUUUGAUACUGACGGGCUUGAAUAAACUAGAGGUAGGCGGAAUGAGACAAGUAGCGGUGAAAUGCAUAGAUAUGUCUCAGAACACCGAUUGCGAAGGCAGCUUACUAUGGUUUUAUUGACGCUGAGGCACGAAAGCGUGGGGAUCAAACAGGAUUAGAUACCCUAG
rnacentral:rRNA from 1 species